rnacentral:rRNA from 1 species
CCANGUGUAGCGGUGAAAUGCGUAGAUAUAUGGAGGAACACCGGUGGCGAAAGCGGCUCUNUGGUCUGUAACUGACGCUGAGGCUCGAAAGCGUGGGGAGCGAACAGGAUUAGAUACCCUGGUAGUCCACGCCGUAAACGAUGAGUGCUAGGUGUUAGGCCCUUUCCGGGGCUUAGUGCCGCAGCUAACGCAUUAAGCACUCCGCCUGGGGAGUACGACCGCAAGGUUGAAACUCAAAGGAAUUGACGGGGGCCCGCACAAGCGGUGGAGCAUGUGGUUUAAUUCGAAGCAACGCGAAGAACCUUACCAGGUCUUGACUUCCCGAUGCCCGCUCUAGAGAUAGAGUUUUACUUCGGUACAUCGGUGACAGGUGGUGCAUGGUUGUCGUCAGCUCGUGUCGUGAGAUGUUGGGUUAAGUCCCGCAACGAGCGCAACCCUUAUUGUUAGUUGCCAUCAUUCAGUUGGGCACUCUAGCGAGACUGCCGGUAAUAAACCGGAGGAAGGUGGGGAUGACGUCAAAUCAUCAUGCCCCUUAUGACCUGGGCUACACACGUGCUACAAUGGCUGGUACAACGAGUCGCAAGUCGGUGACGGCAAGCUAAUCUCUUAAAGCCAGUCUCAGUUCGGAUUGUAGGCUGCAACUCGCCUACAUGAAGUCGGAAUCGCUAGUAAUCGCGGAUCAGCACGCCGCGGUGAAUACGUUCCCGGGCCUUGUACACACCGCCCGUCACACCACGAGAGUUUGUAACACCCGAAGUCGGUGAGGUAACCUUUUAGGAGCCANCCGC